rnacentral:lncRNA from 1 species
CAGGCAACAAAAACCAAAGCAGUAUCCUGAGAGGGGCCCCCAAGCGCAGGGUUUGCCGGGCCUCAGCCUCGGGAGGGAAAAUUGCUCAACCGUGAGGAAUGUGGAGUUAAAGCUGAAGCCAGAGGAAGCUCGGGAGGUGACAACUGGGCCUGGGAGGGACUGCAGGGGGACCGACUGCAGACCUCAGCUAAUGGCAGCUCCUGGAUGAGAACACAAACAGCAAAAGAUGUGCGCACAGCUUGGUGCUGUCACCGAACCAGGACUUGGCUCCUGCCUCAGGCUCCGGACCCAGGCAGGAACCUCCCACUGAGAACCUGCAGGCAGCAGAUUGCUGUGGCUUCCAGCUAACCAUCUAUCUCUAGCACCCAGAAUGCGGAGAAUGGUUUUUAAUAUAGUAGGUGCACAAUAAAUCGGUUUGAGUGAUCGAA